rnacentral:rRNA from 1 species
UAGGGAAUCUUCGGCAAUGGACGGAAGUCUGACCGAGCAACGCCGCGUGAGUGAAGAAGGUUUUCGGAUUGUAAAGCUCUGUUGUUAGAGAAGAACGUUGGUAGGAGUGGAAAAUCUACCAAGUGACGGUAACCAACCAGAAAGGGACGGCUAACUACGUGCCAGCAGCCGCGGUAAUACGUAGGUCCCGAGCGUUGUCCGGAUUUAUUGGGCGUAAAGCGAGCGUAGGCGGUUCUUUAAGUCUGAAGUUAAAGGCAGUGGCUUAACCAUUGUACGCUUUGGAAACUGGAGGACUUGAGUGCAGAAGGGGAGGGUGGAAUUCCAUGUGUAGCGGUGAAAUGCGUAGAUAUAUGGAAGAACACCGGUGGCGAAAGCGGCUCUCUGGUCUGUAACUGACGCUGAGGCUCGAAAGCGUGGGGAGCAAACAGG